rnacentral:rRNA from 1 species
CCUACGGGGGGCAGCAGUGGGGAAUAUUGGACAAUGGGGGGAACCCUGAUCCAGCCAUGCCGCGUGUGUGAAGAAGGCCCUCGGGUUGUAAAGCACUUUCAGUGAGGAAGAACGCCUGGUGGUUAAUACCCAUCAGGAAAGACAUCACUCACAGAAGAAGCACCGGCUAACUCCGUGCCAGCAGCCGCGGUAAUACGGAGGGUGCGAGCGUUAAUCGGAAUUACCGGGCGUAAAGCGCGCGUAGGUGGCUUGAUAAGCCGGUUGUGAAAGCCCCGGGCUCAACCUGGGAACGGCAUCCGGAACUGUCAAGCUAGAGUGCAGGAGAGGAAGGUAGAAUUCCCGGUGUAGCGGUGAAAUGCGUAGAGAUCGGGAGGAAUACCAGUGGCGAAGGCGGCCUUCUGGACUGACACUGACACUGAGGUGCGAAAGCGUGGGUAGCAAACAGGAUUAGAUACCCCAGUAGUC